AUAGAAAUAAUCACCACCGUAUCCAGCAUAUGUUUAUAUUUGUUGCAUUCCUUUUGUGCUAGGAUAUAAAUAUAUAUAUACACAUCUGAUAUAUUAAUUCUUAAACAUUAAGGUUCUCUAGAUAUCUAGCACCACCGUAUGUUGCUAUAUAUGUUUAUUAGUUGUGUAGAACCAUAGCAUCCAAGAAGAUUAGCAUUUCCAUGUAUAGCUAAUAAAAGGGCACUAGCCAUGGUAUUUUCAAGCCACUGAUUCAACGUGAAAAUGGGGAAUUUGGCCUAGGGAGAGAGUUGCUCCAAGACCAUGUAUAACUAUCCUCUUCCGUCGACUUUAUGCUUAUAACAUCGGUUUCCUCCGGAUCCUAGCAAAUCAGAGAAUUUUUUUCAAAGAGAAGGUGGAAGAAAAGUAUUUCUUGGCAUAUAAGGUAACGGCGUGACAUUGGGGGAGGGCAAGUGAAGGAUAACAUAGCUAAACGACAAAGGUAGACAGGAAGGUGAGCUUGGUCCAGACCCUUAGUAGCUGUCAACUGAUUGAGAGCACUCCAUUGUCCGGAGGUGCUUAUGGUUCUUCUUUUGGUAUAUAUGCAUAUUUUGGGCAUGACGGAGUGUUGUUCCGUCUAUAUGUUUAGUAUGUCAGUAGAGGCUCGUAGAUACGCAGUGUGGGUCAGAUGGUCUGGCAAGAUGUUAUUAUUAUGUAUAUGUUAUUUUGAUGGCCGAGAGGCAAAUGUAUAUAAGUAUUUAUGUUUUUAUAUAAAAUAUGAUUUUCCUACAAUUCCUGUAUAAAAUUGGUAAAAGAGCAUUAAAUGAGUAAGAUGAGUAUUAGAGCGAGUGGUGCUCGGUGGCUAGCCCCGGGUACCCGUCGUGGCCCCUAGCUGGGUCGUGACAUCUUUUAUCCUUCAAAACUGCCAGUCAGUCCCCUACGAGUUUUAUACUCGACAUUUUCGAUCAUCAUGCUGGAAAAGUUUUCAUUCGAUUGCUAUUAUAUCUGAACUUAACCUUUUUUUUUUUUUUUAGAAGAGGUUUUAGUAAUAUAAGAGAGAACCCUUAUUUUCGGUGUUUUAGAAAAAGACGUCUCCAAUUCGUUUUGGCACAUAUUUUCGGUAUGCCAUACAUUUCAUCAGUUUAAUGUACUUGCUUUCCAUGGCAAAGAUUUUUCAUAAGAAGCAAAAUUUUAUUGAUUCCAUUUACUUUUACAUGAG